CUUAAUUUAAGUAACAAAAGAUAAAAGAGGAUCUGAGAAUUUCUUCUUAGGAAGCCCAUUAGAAUAUAUUUGCUAAUGCUAAAUUAUAAUUGGUAUUUCAAAAAACUACUCUGUGGAAUGAAUUAUUAUAAAAACAUACUCAGUGGAUAAUCUGAUUCCAUGUCUUCCCACACCCACAAUUACUCUCAUUUAUCACCUGAAACUCUCUCCCCACACACACUCUACCCAACCACAGCAGCUUCCUUGCCAUUCUAGGGCUCUCUAUGCACACUUCCAACUCAGGUCCUUUGCACUUGCCAUUCCUGUUUACUGGACUGGUCUUCCUCAAGAUGUACACACCCCUUCUAGCCUCCAAUUAGAUACUGCCUUAUUAGAGAGAAAGGCCUUCCCUAACUAAAAUAAUACCACAUUAUUACUCUCUGUCUCCACUUAGUUUUUCUUCAUAGCAUUUAUCACUACUUGAUAGAAUAUAUACUUGUCCAAUCUGUUUAUGUUCUUGCUCCACCUACCGCAAUGAACUAUCUAAGAGGAGAGGGACUUUGGUUUGAUUACUACUAUAUCCCCAACACCUAGAACUGCCUGGCACAUAGGUGUGUGAUGAAUGACAGAAUGAAUGAAUGAAUGAAUGCUUUUUUAUUAUUUUUAAAGUGUUAUUAACGUACAGUUGAUUUACAAUGUUGUGAUAAUUUCUGCUGCACAACAAGGUGACUCAGUUAUACAUGUACACACAUGCAUUCUCUUUCAGAUUCCUUUCCCACACUGAUUACCACAGAAUAUUGGGUAGAGUCCUCUGUGCUAUACAGCAGGUCUCCGCGGGCCAGUCAUUCCAUAUACCACACAGUGCAUAUGCCAAUUCCAACCUCCAGUCCAUCCCCCCCUGGCCCUAACUGUCUCUUUUGGUAACCAUAAGUCUGACUUCAAAGUCUGUGAGUCUGUUUUUGUUCUGCAAAUAAGUUCAUUUAUAUCCUUUUUUAGAUUCCACAGAGAAGUGGUAUCAUAUAUUUUUCUUUCACUAACUCCACUUAGUAUGAUUACUAGUAUUCUGAUGGUCCUCAUUCCAGGGGAGGGGGGAAAAAAAGGUUUAAAAAUGCAUCAACAAGGAAAUUAAUACCCAAUGAUUUAGUUUCUUCAGUUAGCACAUUUAAUUGUAUUUGUUCAAAUAUAUCUACAGAAAACAGAUGAUUUAUGAAACUAUAACUCCUCUACUGAAAAGAAGACCCUACUAGAACUUCUGGAAGGAUUUCUGAUCAAAGCUAGAAAGGUGAAAAGUGAAAGCUAACAAAAGAGGACAAACAUUAAGAGCUUCACUAUCUAGGAUGCAAAUCAGUUUUUUAAGCUAUUCACAGUGUGAUGGCUGAAAAUAACCACUACUCUUUGAAUAUAAAUACAUUUAUACUAACUAUACAUAUUAAAUUGCACGAUCCAGCCCACCAAAGCAAAGUAAAAAAAUUAAAAUGCUAAAAGUCAGGAAAAGCCAAAAUUUAUACGCCACUCUCACAUUAUCUUGCUUAACUUGCCUUAUACAUCAUUUAAAAAGUACAUAUAAAGGAGAAAUUGAAAAUGACUACACUCAUAGAAAUAAUGUUGAAAUGUGACUGCUAUAGGAAAUAUAACUUAGGGAUUUCCCGAUUUCUAAGAAAUAGAGUUUAAUACCAAAGCUUUUUUUUUUCAUUUGUAAACUACCUUAAAAAGGGAAUAAAUGGGGAACAAGAGGCAGCUGUUAGAUGAAUUAAAAUUAUAUGACUUUGUCUUGACCUUAACUCAUUAUCUAAAUAUUUUCAUUAUAUACUAAAAGAAAACAUGAAUGUAAAAGAUUAUAUGUACUCAUUUACAUUAUUAUGAACCUCAGUGAAGAAUACAAUAUUGUCAUUAUUUUAGACAGUUUAAAAUUUACAAGCUUUACAAGAGCAAAAAACAGAUUUGACUAUAUUACAUAAAAUUAUUAAAGAUGGUUUCUCAUACUAACUCGAUCUAUGUAUUGCCUGAGUUAUUACAAGAAGAGCAACACUGAAAUAUCAUUAACAAUUUUUCUUUUUUUUAAUUUAAAAAUACUUUAUUGCUAAAAAAUGCUAACCAUUCUCUAAGUCUUCAUUUUGUGAGUUAUAAUUUUUUUGUAAUAGUAACAUCAAAGAUCACAAUCACCAUGAUAAAUAAUAAUGAAAAAGUUUGACAUAUUGCUGAAAUUACUACACUGUGACACAGACAUUAAGAGAGCAGAUGCUGUUAGAAAAACAGGGCUGAAAGACUUGUAAUGGGCACAGGAUUGACACAAACAUUCAAUUUGUAAACAAAGCAAAAACCGCAGUAUUUGCAAAAUGCAAUGAUAUGAGGUAUGCCUAUAAAUUAACAUUUUACUUACAUUAUUAAGCUAUUAUUUCUCAGUAGUUUACAUUAGGUUCAAAAGCUUUUCAGGAGUGGGAGGCAUCGGGAGCUUGGGCCUAUCAGACACAACUUGGAAUAGAUUUACAAGGAGAUCCUGCUGAGUAGCAUUGAGAACUUUGUCUAGAUACUCAUGUUGCAACAGAACAAAGGGUGGGGGAAAAAAAUGUAAUUGUAAUGUAUACAUGUAAGGAUAACUUGAUCCCCUUGCUGUACAGUGGGAAAAUUAAAAAAUAAAAAUUAAAAAAAAAACAAUUUUUCAAAAAGUUAAAAAGCAUAAAGAGUUCAGGCUCCAAAGCCUCAAAUGAGCGACAUAAGUUAGUAGUUUUAAUUUUAACCUACAGACGGCCACAGCCAGGACGCAUGAGCACAAGUCCCUGUACACCUCUUCUCCAUGGCUCCUGGCCUGCUUCAGGGCUGUGGCUACAGAAGACACCCCAGAGGCAUGGCUUCAGAACACACGUACUACGAGUAAAUCUUUUCUCCAAAUGGGAACUCGGCUCUGUUUUCUAAGGUAUCAGCCUAAAACUCUGUAGGACUGAGGAACAAGCACUUAAAUAUUUCCUACCUAGGAUAAGACACCAAAUAGUAAUAGUCAGUCUGAGAAAUGCUUCAUACCUGAGGGAAGUCCUAUGCUUUUUAGAACCAAAAAGCUAAAGAGGCCUGACAAUUCAAUGUAGCAAGUUUAGAGGAGGAAACAGAUGCAGCAUCAACACUCCCACGAAGUACAAUUAGCACCAGAAUAGAAUUUUUCUUCAUGUAAUCUCUUUCCUGCUCCCUCUCCUACCUCUUCACCUCUUUCCCCCUUGCUACAACUGUGGUACUAUAAAUACCCUUCCCACUCUGGUAAUAAUCUAAAGCUUUUAUCUACUUUCCUCUCUACCUCUAUCCAGCCUUAGAGAUUAAUUUAUGUCAGAUUUCUCUCUACAAAAAUGCCAGCUGGCAAGCCAAUAUGGGAUAUUUCCUUAACAUAUUACCUAUUUCUCAAUAUCUAAUGUAUAAAGUGGCUGAGCUAAGAGAAGUAUUUUUCCAGUCUUGGAUUAUUCUUCUCUAAGCUCUAGACAUAUCACUAAGAAAAAACUUUUAUUUUUAGCAUCUAAAUUUAGAUAAAAUGCAUAAAACAAAGCACAACAUUUUGGUUUAUUUGCAAAAGACGGUGCAAAUAAAACUAUGAGACUCUCCCCAGGGUACUUGGCCAUAGAGAAUUACAACUAUUUCUUGGAAAAUGGGUACGUUUGGCCAUUUAUAAGAGUCCUAAUCUUAGAAUUGGGAGCUAUGGGUUCAAGUCGUUAAGUGUGCAAAUAAUAAUACUGCAUGUCUUUAUAAAAAUAACUCAUCUUUGCAUCUUACUUUACAGUUUUUAACAUACUUUCCUCUUAAAAUAAUCAUGACCAGUAACAACCCUGUGGAGCAAUCAUCACUGUUACUUUAUAGAGAAACAGACUCAAGUCCACAGGGCAAGAUGUACCAGAGUUAAGGACUAAAACAUAGAAAUCUUUUUAAUGUACUGGCUUUUUCAGCCAUUCAGUGCCAAACUAUGACACAGGGGAUGUAGAACAGUUCCCAAAGAGCAAAAAAACGAUGAGUUUAGUGAGUUUACCACCAAAGUUUGCCACUCAUAGCAGUGCAAGUCCCCAAACUCUGAAGU
rnacentral:lncRNA from 1 species